UUGAGACCAACAACUCAGAUUUGCUGUUCGGAGUUAAGAGUUUGCCAUGGUAUAGAGUGAAGAUAAUUUGACCGCCACAGGAAUUCAGCUUCUGAUUGGGGCCUUGCUGUGUUCUAAUCAACGAAACUAAUGAACUAUAUACACUAGCCCACUCUAUGAGACGGAUUGAAACUCUAAGAAGGUACCAAGUAACCGCUCCCCAACUGUAAGGAAAACUGUGUAUGAGUGGAAUUAGAAAGAGGAAAAAGACCAAGUGAAGUUUAAUCACUCAUCAUGAGUGGUAUUAGAACCAUUGAGAAAAUUAUCGAGAAAAUGACUUUCCUUCUAAAAGGUAAACCCUGUCAACAGCAGGAGGUAAAAACCCCAGUCAACAGCACUGAGUGAAAGAAAAGUCUCCACAUCUGGAAAGAACAGCAAUGAAGAACAGGAACUGGUGCAUUCAUGCUCGGCUCCUACCGGGCAUGUUUCGUUUAAUUUCCUCCGUUUUUAUGACACUUUCCUAUGCUGCUACCCCAGACGUUCAAUGAAACACCUCACUGCCGAUAAACUGUAGGGGAAGGAAAAUCAAAGAAAGUCUGACUGAAGGUCUGAGUGUGAGAUCACCACAACCAUCAGCAGAGGCAACAGGAGCGUAUGUUCAGGCUUCUCAGAACCACUUCUCUGGGGUCUCAUCUUGGUCUCUGUUUAUAAACUCUGCUGCCUUUUGCACCUCUGAUCCAUCGCCAGGCAGACUGGUGCGCUGUCCUACCUGUGCUUGUCUUCUGUAGCCUGUCUUCCUCCGUAAUGUCAGAAAGAACACAAAGGGCCCUAUCACUGGUUCAGUUUUCCGUACUUCACCCAUAAAGUCUGCAAUCAAUCAGUUUUUCCCCUGAGCAGGUGAGA